rnacentral:misc_RNA from 1 species
GAAAUGCGAUAAGUAAUGUGAAUUGCAGAAUUCAGUGAAUCAUCGAAUCUUUGAACGCACCUUGCGCUCCUUGGUAUUCCUUGGAGCAUGCCUGUUUGAGUAUCAUGAAAUCUUCAAAGUAAAUCUUUUGUUAACUCAAUUGGUUUCUACUUUGGUAUUGGAGGUCUUUGCAGCUUCACACCUGCUCCUCUUUGUUCAUUAGCUGGAUCUCAGUGUUAUGCUUGGUUCCACUCGGCGUGAUAAGUUAUCUAUCGCUGAGGACACUGUAAAAGGUGGCCAAGGUAAAUGCAGAUGAACCGCUUCUAAUAGUCCAUUGACUUGGACAAUACUUUUAUGAUCUGAUCUCAAAUCAGGUAGGACUACCCGCUGAACUUAAGG